GAUGAACGCUAGCUACAGGCUUAACACAUGCAAGUCGAGGGGAAACGAUAUUGGAAGCUUGCUUCCGAUAGGCGUCGACCGGCGCACGGGUGAGUAACGCGUAUCCAACCUGCCCACCACUUGGGGAUAACCUUGCGAAAGUAAGACUAAUACCCAAUGAUGUCCAUAGAAGACAUCUGAAUUGGAUUAAAGAUUUAUCGGUGAUGGAUGGGGAUGCGUCUGAUUAGCUUGUUGGCGGGGUAACGGCCCACCAAGGCGACGAUCAGUAGGGGUUCUGAGAGGAAGGUCCCCCACAUUGGAACUGAGACACGGUCCAAACUCCUACGGGAGGCAGCAGUGAGGAAUAUUGGUCAAUGGGCGAGAGCCUGAACCAGCCAAGUAGCGUGCAGGAUGACGGCCCUAUGGGUUGUAAACUGCUUUUAUAAGGGAAUAAAGUGAGCCUCGUGAGGCUUUUUGCAUGUACCUUAUGAAUAAGGACCGGCUAAUUCCGUGCCAGCAGCCGCGGUAA
rnacentral:rRNA from 1 species